rnacentral:lncRNA from 1 species
UAGAGAAAGAGAUGAGGGGAAAUCUCCCUUGUAUUGAAUAUACACAUAGGGUCCUUUAUUUAUAAUAGAAGAAAUAUGGGCUAAGCCCAAAAUACAAAUAAGAAAUAUAAACAAACUAACUAAAGAUAAGAGAUAAAUAUAAACUAAAUAUAAUAUCUCUAACACUCCCCAUCAAGCUGGAGCGUACAGAUUGUAUGGACUAAGCUUGGAAUACAUAAACUCAAUUUGAAAUAUGUAAUUUGUCUUCAAGAGUGUGCAGCAAACAGAUUCACAAUCACAUGUCGACGAACAACUAACAACAAUUUAUGGACAGUAGUAGACAACUGCAAAACUUCAAAUAGCACCAUGAAACUUUCAAGUGGAAUGACUUUGACAAAGGAGAAUAAUGACAAACUCCAAGGACUAGAUUGCCAUCAAGUAAGGAUGGGGCUUGCAUCAAAACUACAGGGAAUGUCAUCAUUGACUGAUGGGUUCUGUAGUGGUUAAAAGCGACAAAACUACAGGGAAUGCCAUCACUCACUGAUGAGUUCUGUAGUGGCUAAAAGCAACAAAACUGCAAGGACUGCCAUCAUUGACUAGUGGAGUCUGCCUAACUUGGUUCAUACUCCCCCUCACGACGAACGGCAGAAAUGACGGCGCGCCGAUGACAGACCGUGAAAGUGGAAGAUCAUAAUGAGCUCUUAUUCAUCAAAGCACCCAAAAAACAAAAACAAAGGGUUGGUCAUAAUUUUAGUGUUGAAAUUUCUUGGUGUUAACCACUAACUGUCCUUGAAGACCUUUCAGAAAAGAUAAGAUAGCGGAAGCAGUAGGACUGGCAACAGAUUGUGACAACAGUGACUGAUUGCAGUGGCGGCACAAGCAGCGGAUGGCAAGAAGGUCCAAUCGGUGCAGCACGAGAAAAGGGAAUUAGAACCCAUUCGUGGAGGCAUACACCAGAACGCAGAUACGAGAGGAAGAUU